rnacentral:rRNA from 1 species
CUCAGGAUGAACGCUAGCGGCAGGCCUAAUACAUGCAAGUCGAACGGUAAGGUCUCUUCGGAGAUACACGAGUGGCGCACGGGUGCGUAACGCGUAUGCAACCUACCUUGAACUGGAAGAUAGCCCCGAGAAAUCGGGAUUAAUAUUCCAUAAUGUCCAUUUUUUGCAUGUGAGAUGGAUUAAAGUUACGGCGGUUCAAGAUGGGCAUGCGUGACAUUAGCUAGUUGGUGAGGUAACGGCUCACCAAGGCGACGAUGUCUAGGGGUCCUGAGAGGGUUUCCCCCCACACUGGUACUGAGACACGGACCAGACUCCUACGGGAGGCAGCAGUAAGGAAUAUUGGUCAAUGGACGCAAGUCUGAACCAGCCAUGCCGCGUGCAGGAUGACUGCCCUACGGGUUGUAAACUGCUUUUACGUGAGAAAAAACUCCCCGAUUCGUUCGGGGACUGAUGGUAUCACAUGAAUAAGCAUCGGCUAACUCCGUGCCAGCAGCCGCGGUAAUACGGAGGAUGCAAGCGUUAUCCGGAUUCAUUGGGUUUAAAGGGUGUGCAGGCGGAAUGAUAAGUCAGAGGUGAAAUCCCCCGGCUCAACCGGGGACCUGCCUUUGAUACUGUUGUUCUUGAGUAUAGUUGAAGUGGGCGGAAUGUGUCAUGUAGCGGUGAAAUGCAUAGAUAUGACACAGAACACCGAUAGCGAAGGCAGCUCACUAACCUAUAACUGACGCUCAUGCACGAAAGCGUGGGGAGCAAACAGGAUUAGAUACCCUGGUAGUCCACGCUGUAAACUAUGAUCACUAGUUGUUAGCGAUACACUGUUAGCGACUGAGGGAAACCAUUAAGUGAUCCACCUGGGGAGUACGGCCGCAAGGUUGAAACUCAAAGGAAUUGACGGGGGCCCGCACAAGCGGAGGAGCAUGUUUGGUUUAAUUCGAUGAUACGCGAGGAACCCUUACCUUGGGCUUAAAUGCAGGACGACAUCCGCGUGAAAACAGGAUUUCUUCGGACGGCCUGCAAGGUGCUGCAUGGUUGUCGUCAGCUCGUGCCGUGAGGUGUCGGGUUAAGUCCCAUAACGAGCGCAACCCCUAUUCUUAGUUGCCAUCAGGUAAUGCUGGGAACUCUAAGGAAACUGCCUACGCAAGUAGUGAGGAAGGUGGGGAUGACGUCAAAUCAGCACGGCCCUUAUGU